rnacentral:tRNA from 1 species
GCCUGGGUGGCUCAGUUGGUUAGGCGGCUGACUUUGGGUCAGGUCAUGAUUUCUCAGUCUGUGGGUUCGAGCCCCACUUUGGGCU